rnacentral:rRNA from 1 species
AUGGGUUGUCUGCUGGCUCGCAAGGGCAUGUGCACGCCUGUCUCAUCCACUCUCAACUUCUGUGCACUUUUCAUAGGCCGGCUUGUGGGUGCGUUCGCGCACUUGUAGGUGUCGGGCUUAUGCUUUACUACAAACGAUUCAGUUUUAGAAUGUCAUACUUUGCUAUAACGCAAUUAUAUACAACUUUCAGCAACGGAUCUCUUGGCUCUCGCAUCGAUGAAGAACGCAGCGAAAUGCGAUAAGUAAUGUGAAUUGCAGAAUUCAGUGAAUCAUCGAAUCUUUGAACGCACCUUGCGCUCCUUGGUAUUCCGAGGAGCAUGCCUGUUUGAGUCUCAUGGAAUUCUCAACCUUCAGCUUUAUUGAUGAAGGCUUGGACUUGGAGGUCGUGCAGGCUCUCGUAGUCGGCUCCUCUGAAAUGCAUUAGUGCGAACGUUACCAGCCGCUUCAGCGUGAUAAUUAUCUGCGUUGCUGUGGAGGGUAUUCUAGUGUUCACGCUUCUAACCGUCUUCGGACAAAUUUCUGAACUCUGAGCUCAAAUCAGGUAGGACUACCCGCUGAACUUAAGCAUAUCAAUAA